rnacentral:rRNA from 1 species
GACGAACGCUGGCGGCGCGCCUAACACAUGCAAGUCGAGCGAUGACGUCUCAACAGAUUCUUUCGAGAUGACGAUGAGAUUGAUUAGCGGCGGACGGGUGAGUAACACGUGAGUAACCUACCUUCCACAAGGGGAUAGCCUCGGGAAACCGGGAUUAAUACCCUAUGACACAUACCUUUCGCAUGAAGGGGAUGUUAAAGUGAAUGAGCGGUGGAAGAUGGACUCGCGACCCAUUAGUUAGUUGGUGAGGUAACGGCUCACCAAGACGACGAUGGGUAGCCGGCCUGAGAGGGUGAACGGCCACAUUGGAACUGAGACACGGUCCAAACUCCUACGGGAGGCAGCAGUGGGGGAUUUUGCACAAUGGGCGCAAGCUUGAUGCAGCGACGCCGCGUGAGGGAUGGAGGCCUUCGGGUUGUGAACCUCUUUCGCUGGGUUGAAAGGCCAUGCUUUGGGUGUGGUUGAUUUGAUACUGGUAAAGAAGUACCGGCUAACCUACGUGCCAGCAGCCGGGGUAAUAACGGUAGGGUACUAGCCGUUGGUCGGGAUUUUAUUGGGGCCGUAAAGGGCUUGGUAGGUGGUUUUGCUGCCGUCUGUCCGUGAAAUCCAUGGCCUAAACUGUGGGCUUGCGGUGGGGUACGGGUAAGGCUUGAGUGCGGUAAGGGAGACUGGAAUUCCUGGUUGUAGCGGGUGGAAUGCGCAGAUAUCAGAGGAAUACCGGUGGCGAAAGCGGGUCUCUGGGCCGUUACUGACGCUGAGAGCGAAAGCGUGGGGAGCGAACAGGAUUAGAUACCCUGGUAGUCCAUGCUGUAAACGUUGGGCACUA